UACAGAGGUCUCAAGCGUUGUUCGGAUUCAUUGGGCGUAAAGGGUGCGUAGGUGGCGCCGUAAGUCAGGUGUGAAAUUUCGGAGCUUAACUCCGAAACUGCAUUUGAUACUGCGGUGCUUGAGGACUGGAGAGGAGACUGGAAUUUACGGUGUAGCAGUGAAAUGCGUAGAGAUCGUAAGGAAGACCAGUGGCGAAGGCGGGUCUCUGGACAGUUCCUGACAGCUGAGGCACGAAGGCCAGGGGGGCAAACGGG
rnacentral:rRNA from 1 species